UUACAAAAAUAAGUUGUCUAUUGAACUGUCAAUAGAUGUUCGUUAUUUCAUUAUUUCCGUAUUAUUUUAUUGAAAUUUCUUUCGUUUUGUUCUAUUGCGGUAAUUAAACUAAAUUGUUGGGAUAUCUUAAGAAAACAUGAGUGAAAUAGUGAUGAAGACGGAUUACAUUUUUCAGAUCAGAAACAGAGGUGUUAAUCAAUGUAUAAUACAACUCAACUGUUUAUGAUGGGGGCGUAAAGCCAGGAUAUUGGACGGAUACAAAAUAUAUGGUGCGCCGCGCGAAACUUUUGAUGGAAGAUAUGACAAUCGCGCGGGUUUUUAACUUUGAUCUCAAUUACUCUGAAGAUAUACUUCUGUUUAAAAUUAUGCUCGUCAGAUCCCACGGCUAUAUCACUAGCUAUCUUAUACUAAACUGGAAAUAAACGAAAAUUAGACAUGUU